rnacentral:tRNA from 1 species
GGCCUGUUCGUCUAGUGUUUAGGACACCCUAAUGUUUUUAGGGAGACGGGGGUUUGAUUCCCUCACGGGCCGCCA